rnacentral:rRNA from 1 species
UACGAAGGGAGCUAGCGUUGUUCGGAAUCACUGGGCGUAAAGCGCACGUAGGCGGAUGUGUCAGUCAGGGGUGAAAUCCCGGAGCUCAACUUCGGAACUGCCUUUGAUACAGCACGUCUUGAGUCCGAUAGAGGUGGGUGGAAUUCCUAGUGUAGAGGUGAAAUUCGUAGAUAUUAGGAAGAACACCGGGUGGCGAAGGCGGCUCACUGGAUCGGUACUGA